rnacentral:rRNA from 1 species
GACGAACGCUGGCGGCGUGCUUAACACAUGCAAGUCGAACGAAGUGGCGAACGGGUGAGUAACGCGUAAUCAACCUGCCCUUCAGAGGGGGACAACAGUUGGAAACGACUGCUAAUACCGCAUACUGAAGGAGGGGAUUGCGUCUGAUUAGCUAGUUGGAGGGGUAACGGCCCACCAAGGCGAUGAUCAGUAGCCGGUCUGGAAGGAGGAACGGCAACAUUGGUACUGAGACACGGCCCAGACUCCUCCGGGAGGCAGCAGUGGGGACUCUCCCGCAAGGGACGAAAGUCUGACGGAGCAACGCGGCGGGAGUGAUGACGGCCUUCGGGUUGUAAAGCUCUGUUAAUCGGGACGCGGUACCGAAAUAGAAAGCCACGGCUAACUACGUGCCAGCCGCCGCGGUAAUAC